AUUAAAAUUCAAAAGAUAAUUUAAACCAUUCCAAUUAUUAGUAUUUAAUGGUAAUCUUCAGAUUAUUAAAGUGUAGGUGAUAAAAAAAUAACAAGUCAAAACUGUAGCAAACCACCGCUACAUUUCCAUGCCUUUACCAAUAAGGCGACAAUGAAUUAAGUCUGAUACAGAGCACUGCAACCUGCUGAAAAGCAUUCAACUCAGUACAAACAAUUCACAUAAUAUUUACAAGCAACAAACAUAGCUCUUCUACAGUUCAAACCGAUAACCCAUGAAAACACAUAGAAACUCAUCUGAACAGCAGCAAUUCUGCUUACUUUUUUCUAUAUCUUUGAAAUCAUAAAUACAUUUGCAUCAAAAAUACGCUACAAGAAUUUUUAGUGGCUGAGCUACACCUUUGGUAUUCAGAGCAUACUCAAAUUCUGAUAUUUACUAGUUCAAAAGCUCCCGAGAAUGUAACUAUCAAAGUUCUAUUCAAAACAACAAACAUGCUAGCUUUAAAAUUCUGUAACUUCAGAAAUACCAAGCCAAAUUCAGUGCUCAAGCAUUCCACACAAAUAGUAACUAGUAUACUUCAAAACAUUCUAUAGAUGUCAGUAUUAAAUCGGCCUCUAUGCAAACUGACAAUGCAUCACAAAUCUGAAACUCUUAACUGAACCAGAAUCAGCUGAGUCGAAUGUCUCACUUCACUCCCAUAACUCUCAGCAUAUUGCAGGAAAACAUUCAAAUAACCACACUAUGGAAAGGUCAUAAACUUUAUUUCCAAUGGUUCCAUAGCGAUCAGAACAAAUUCGAUAUAUAAGAUAUUCUAAAAUGCCACCCAAUAUUAAAACUUGUAACUGCAAUUGUAACCUGAUAGAUCACAAUGGCUAGCUUCAUACCUCAUAGCUCUUAGAAUUCUCAUCAGAAAAAUGCCAAUAAGUACUUGAUGGAAAGCUAAUAAAGUACUCUAAAACUUAUACUAUUAUGAGUUUCCUUGAGUCGGAUACAAGGACCUUCAAAAACAUCCUGAUCUGCUACUGCAGAAGACUAACGGACAGAACAGACCAACAACAAUAUUUAGAGAUUCAAAACUCUUGAAAUACGGAAUAGAAUUCUGCGAGUAAAUACUCGUUGGAAAGAAUGUGAAAUUAUCUAAAACUUUCACUAUAACAAGUUCCUCUGAAUCGGCCUCAAAAAAACUUAAAAAACGACCCGAUCUGCUACUUCUACAAACUGAUCAUUCUGAUCUUGACAGGAUUAGGGUUAAACAGGAAUGAUAAACCACAAAAAAAUCAUGGGGAAAGAAGUAAUCCAUCUAUGUAAAUACCUCAAGGAGACCACGACCUCCUCCCUUCUCUCCUUAUUUUCACCUAGCUUUUCCAAAGCCAAGCUGCAGCACAAUUCGAAUAUAAGAACAAGGAGCAGCAAUAUGAGGGUUGGCCACUCCUCCAGACUUCGGUUUUUGUUGGGCAGACCAGAUCUAGCGACAGGAGCAGGCCCCUUCUCUUCUUCUUCAUUUGUUUAGAUAGAUCAGGGAACGGAGGGACAUGACGGCUGGGUAGGGAAGGCUCAUGUGAUACCCAAGAUAACAAGAAACGAUGGUUGCCUCCUAUACCCUAAUGCAAAUCUAACGGCCCAAUAAGAAAUACUCAUUCCUGACUCGUUUGGACCCCAAAUCGUGUGUAUGACUAAUCAAAC
rnacentral:lncRNA from 1 species